UGUGAAGCCAAGGGCGCUUGGCAUGGGAAGAGAGCCGCUCGUGAUUUAUUUGGGAGAGGGAUGGGGUUUUGGAAAGGAAAUUGGGGGGUUUACAAGGAGGACGGGUGGGUUUUACUCAACAACUUAUUCUUGGGCGUUUUCGUGGACUGGAGAGGAGUUUCGAUCCCGUCUCGGGCUCACCUGGGAAGCCCCCUCCUGGCGCCCGCUUUGUUUGGCGUUCCUUUAAAGCCCGGUGUUGGCAGAGCGACCCACAAUGAAACAAAUUCUCAUUUUAUGACGUCUUUCCCCCCGUAGGAGUCCGAACAAUGUCUGGGGGCUUGGCACGCAUGAAGAUAAAAGAAUUUUAUUUUAAAUGCGAUACAUGUCAGGAUUAGACAGCGUUUCCUUUCAGCUAAACUACAGAGCGAAUCUUCAUUUCCUGUUUCACUGCUUCCCCCGAAAGAAACUUUUCUUUUUCUUUUUCUUUUUCUUUUUUUUUCUUUUCUUUCUCUCCCCCAGCAGAGAGUCCGAGAGAAAAGUGCUGGGCACAGAGCUCCCCACGAGGUCCCCGGAAAGCAGACUUAGCUCCUGAUCGUUGUCAAUCUUUGGGCAACCCGGGGCCUCGCAACGGCUCGGGUUUAGUGUGAUCUGGGGAGGCUGCAGCCCAGUUCCGGCUACCGUGGGCGCCUGAGCAGAGCCGGGGCGAGUUGUAAACCUCAGAGAAAGGCACUUGUCCCCAGCAAAACGCUUGGAGAGGACCGUGCACGCUGUGCUGCCCCCGCCCCGAGACGCGCCGGGCCGCCGGGUCACCGGUUUUCCGAAAGGGACCCGGCAGAGACAAAGUGCCUUCGCCGCUGCGAUAGGUGACGGAAGGUGAGGAGAGAGCACUGAGACCAAGCAAAUGGAGGCACUCAGGGAAUGAGAGGCUAAAGAUGAGAAGACCAACCAUACAGAUACUUUUG
rnacentral:lncRNA from 10 species